AUUUAAAUAAUUUAAAAUAAAAUAUUGAUUUGUGGAAUCAAAUAUAUGAGAAAUUCAUUUUAAAUU
rnacentral:tRNA from 3 species